rnacentral:SRP_RNA from 1 species
GCUGGGCGUGGUGGUGCGCGCCUGUAAUCCCAGCUACUCGGGAGGCUGAGGCAGGAGAAUGGCAUGAACCCAGGAGGCGGAGCUUGCAGUGAGCUCAGAUCGUGCCACUGCACUCCAGCCUGGGUGACAGAGCAAGACUCUGUCUCUA